GAGUGGCUCCAAUGUGAUAAGAACUGAGGUUGUCUGUCACUUGUCAUCAAAGAACUCUGCACGGUCAGAAAUGGAGACAGAAAGCAGCAAGGCUGGACGGGAUCUCUAAAUGGAAAAAUCUCAGACGUCUACCUGAAUGGUUUGGAUGGAGUUAAUUCCUAAACAGAGCCAUGCCCUUCACAUUAGGAGUCCAGGGCUCAGGGAACCCUGCAGAAAAGGAGGCAGAAAGUGUGGACGACCUAGAAGAGAUGGAGAACACCAAGGAAACAAAGCCUUCUAAAUCAACAUGAUCAAUACACAUAUGAACUCACAGAGACAGAGACAGCAUAUCCUGGACCUGCACAAGGCCUGCACAGAUGGGACCCUAGAGCUGAAAGGAAAAGGGAAACAAUCCCGAUCCUUAGCUCAGAAACUCUCUCCAAGAUAUAAGCACUUGAAAAUGAAAACCUAGUUUCCUCGGAAGAAGUCUCACUGGGAAGACAAACUGCUCUUGAGGGCAAGCAAACCCGGGAAAACCUGCCAACACACUUUGGAGACAUGAAUUCUAAUCACACCAAUAUUAAACAUGAAGAAGUUACAACAAUUGUUCCAAAAAAUGGCAUGCUAGAUGAACUCAUCAAGCAUGAGAAAGAACCAAUAGAAUCAUUUCCCACUGUUCAGUUCCUGCUGGAAGAGUCUCAGUGAAACGAAGAACAGCGAGUGCUUUCAGACAUGGGAGAAUUACCUGAAGUGCUAGCCCCUAAAGAACACAACUGUGUCUCUUUCCCCUGUAGUCUCCUGCUUCUUUGGGGGUGUUUUCCAGUGAAUUUCUCUGCACUUUAAAAAGUGAAGAGAGAUUACAAAGUGUGCUUUAAAGUGCAUUAAAUAUAACGUAAGGUAAAUUAGUAAAACCUCUUGAAAAACUCUGCUCUCAGCUCGCCGGCUUGCUUCCUCUGGGGGAAGAUAAUGCGAUUGUGUUGAUUUAAAGGUUCUGUCGAGUUCUCUUAAGCAUUCCUUUGAUGCUGUGUCGCCCUGCCUCUAAUAGACUGUUAUUGCCCUCUAUUGAGUUUACAGAGUGAGGGUAAAUCUUUGGUGAUGUGAUUGAGCCUCUGCAAACUCAAUAUUGCUCACCCGGCCUUUAUAACUCUCAGUUACUCUGCAGCAGAACAGCAAACAUUUUCAUUUUUACCUUUUUAGAUUUUCAUUCUUUGUUCCCGAAGCUGAGAGUAUAUAUGCUUAUACAUGGUCUUCAAUGUCUAUUUGGGGCAGUAGUAACUCAUAAACAAAAGAACACUGUCAAGUAGGUUUUUUUCUUUUUUUUAAAUUAUUGAUUUUGUGGUUGGAUCUUUUUUUUUUUUUUUUAUUGUGUUCCAUUAGGUUCUCAGCUCCACUAUUGAACAGAUAGCAGCUGGGGCAACUUUAACCCAGACAUGUAGCCAAGGUCUAGUUGAAAUAUCAUCGUAAAGGACCCAAGGACAUGCAGAAGUGUUUCUCUGGCAACCGUUUUUACCUGGAGACUCAGUGAAGUUGUCUUCUCCUAUUGAAGAUGACAGACAGGAGGGCUAUGUGACUGGAAGUAACAGCAUAAGCUAUGAGUAGUGGAGGAAGCCCUGAGUGAAUGAGGACCUGGGUUGAUGGUCGCAGCUGACACAUCAGGACCGUGGCCAGGAUCCUAGAUUCAUAGUUAUAGGAAAAGGCAAAAGUCCCUCCACCCUGGCCCCAUGAGUCUCCUCUUGUCAGAAUGUGCAUGUUCGCAGUGUGUCCGGAAGAUGUCUACCUUAACUUCCUCCUCAGAGCAAGUUUAUGGCCUGAACACUGCUCUUCUACAAAGGCUAAUGCUAACUACACCUGCCUCCUGUUUGGCUGCAUACAAUCGACCCUGCUGCCUUUUUAUGCUUGUAUAUAACCAUGGUCCCUUGUUUGUCUGUAUAAGUCAACCCUGGCUACUUGUUCAGCUACAUGCAAUAACUCCCCCUCACUGGUGGUUCAACUGUUUAUAAUAAAUACUGAACUUCUGGGAUGUUAAGGUUUCCUUACCAGAGCCCAGUCCACUCGAACCCAGCUUCUUUGUCUGUAUAUCUGUAUGUGUCUGUCAUUUCUUCAUUCCCUUCCUACCCUGCAUCAGGCCAAGUCCCUGGGAUGUGUGCUUGGGCAUGGUAAUAAAUA